rnacentral:rRNA from 1 species
UACAGAGGAGCCAAGCGUUGUCCGGAUUGACUGGGCGUAAAGCGCACGCAGGCGGAUGCGCGCGUGGGGUGUGAAAUCUGGCCGCUUAACGGCCAGGCGCCAUCCCAUACGGCGCGUCUGGAGUGAUGCAGAGGUCGGUGGAAUUGCCGGUGUAGUGGUGAAAUGCGUAGAGAUCGGCAGGAACACCCAGGGGGAAACCAGCCGACUGGGCAUCUACUGACGCCGAGGUGCGAGAGCGUGGGGAGCGAACCGG